CGCUGGCGGCGUGCCUAAUACAUGCAAGUAGAACGCUGAGGAUUGGUGCUUGCACUAAUCCAAAGAGUUGCGAACGGGUGAGUAACGCGUAGGUAACCUACCUCAUAGCGGGGGAUAACUAUUGGAAACGAUAGCUAAUACCGCAUGAYACUAGAGUACACAUGUACUCAAGUUAAAAGGAGCAAAUGCUUCACUAUGAGAUGGACCUGCGUUGUAUUAGCUAGUUGGUGAGGUAACGGCUCACCAAGGCGACGAUACAUAGCCGACCUGAGAGGGUGAUCGGCCACACUGGGACUGAGACACGGCCCAGACUCCUACGGGAGGCAGCAGUAGGGAAUCUUCGGCAAUGGACGGAAGUCUGACCGAGCAACGCCGCGUGAGUGAAGAAGGUUUUCGGAUCGUAAAGCUCUGUUGUUAGAGAAGAACGGUAAUGGGAGUGGAAAAUCCAUUACGUGACGGUAACUAACCAGAAAAG
rnacentral:rRNA from 1 species